CGUUUCAUCUGUUCUGGGAUUUUCAACUGAGGAGAUAUUAAGACAGGGGAAUGUGGACGCGGGAGAGAACGUGUCUCCGUCUCCUGCACAAUUCCCUGUGAACCAGCAGCCUCCAUCCUAAAGAGCAGAGAAGCAUUUACUGCCCAGAGGAAACCAGGCUGCAGUAAAGCUGACGGACGGCAUUUCGCAUGACUGAAGACAAACG
ensembl:lncRNA